ACUGAUGUAUUCAACGAGUAUAUAGCCUUGGCCGACAAGCCCGGGUAAUCUUGGGAAAUUUCAUCGUGAUGGGGAUAGAUCAUUGCAAUUGUUGGUCUUCAAU
rnacentral:rRNA from 1 species